CCUACGGGAGGCAGCAGUGGGGAAUCUUGCGCAAUGGACGAAAGCCUGACGCAGCCAUGCCGCGUGGAUGAUGAAGGUCUUAGGAUUGUAAAAUCCUUUCACCGGUGAAGAUAAUGACUGUAGCCGGAGAAGAAGCCCCGGCUAACUUCGUGCCAGCAGCCGCGGUAAUACGAAGGGGGCUAGCGUUGCUCGGAAUUACUGGGCGUAAAGGGAGCGUAGGCGGACAUUUAAGUCAGAGGUGAAAUCCCGGAGCUUAACUUCGGAACUGCCUUUGAUACUGGGUGUCUUGAGUGUGAGAGAGGUAUGUGGAACUCCGAGUGUAGAGGUGAAAUUCGUAGAUAUUCGGAAGAACACCAGUGGCGAAGGCGACAUACUGGCUCAUUACUGACGCUGAGGCUCGAAAGCGUGGGGAGCAAACAGGAUUAGAUACCCUGGUAGUCCACGCCGUAAACGAUGAUUGCUAGUUGUCGGGAAGCUUGCUUCUCGGUGACGCAGCUACGCAUUAAGACAAUCCGCCGUCGGGAGGUACGGUCGCGAAGAAUUAAACUACAAUAGAAGUAGACGGCGUGAGACGUGCCGACGGACGACGACGAGGGAGGUUAGG
rnacentral:rRNA from 1 species